ensembl:lncRNA
UCUAAACCCCGGCCGCCAUCUUUUGUCUGGCAACUCCCAGGGAUCAUGGCAGUGCUCAGGCUGUAACACUCCAUCUUGGGAACCCGCCAUGCUUCCACGGAAGCAUGGCUGUCAUAAACCAGCACUGGAUCGGAGGUGGGUUUCAGACCGGCUUGCAGAUGUGGGCAGGAUACAGCAACUUUAAUACUGGCCCCUGUAGGAGAGAAUAUCAGCUGAUCUGGAACCUGACCAUCAGGACUAGUUUGGCACUUCCGGGAUCCAAAGCGGGAAUACUGGGUUCACUUUGGAGGAGAUUUGAGAAACACAAACAAACUAAUCAAAUCAGUGAACUUUAGCAUUUUUAUAUAGACUUAAUAGGUUUCUAAGUUACCCAGCCAUGGGUCUGAAGCAAUUUGCUGUCCUCUCUUUGCUUUAAAAAAAAAAAAUACUACCAUGAAAGAAAAAGUUACAAAUCGCACCAAGACAACACCUCUCAAUUCAAUUCAAUUUUAUUUACAUAGCACCAAAUCGCUAAAGCUCAGGGUAAAAAGGUCCAAACCAGCCGCUGCAGGAAGGAGCUGAAGAUGAAACACGAGAAUUUGAUGAUAAUAAAAAGUCCAGGAUAACACCUCAAGAUUGAAAGGAGGAGCCUUCGUGGACGUCGUCUGCGGCAUCUCGCUGUGACGCAGCAGCGUUUUGGCAGCCCGACGGAGUAAUAAUCUGUCAGUGUGGCUCUUAACGAGUGCUGACACCUCAUUCGCUGCUCUUCACACGCUAAUCGCCUCACUAAUUAGCAGCAGCUCUCCUGAAGGCCGCUGCUCGUUUACUAAUCAGCCUCCAAUCUGCUUAAUCAGCGAUUUAAUUGAAGCGAUCGCCUCCCAGAGGCAAAGAACCACUCGAGCAUGAGAGAGUUGGGAAUCGAACCAGCAACACCCAGGCUCAAUGGCCUUUGACCUUCACAUUUUAACAGCUAUAUUGAUUAUUUUUUUAGAUUUUUGAUCACUCCUUUAAUUUUCAUGUUCUUUGUGGUGAGUUGAGUGUCUGUAGUAACAGUGGGAUAGCGGAGUGUCUGUUUAGCCCCGCCCAUGCCGCUGUGUCCAAACACUGUAAUUGAAUGAUUUACAUUGUUUUGAAUUGUGUCCUCCUCCUGAUAAAUCAGCAGCUCUAAUGGAGGCCAGCAGCUCCGACUGGGGGUUGGAGGAUGGUGGGGGGACGGUGGGCGACGUGCUGGGCGGUAACAGCUAUAACACGUUCGGUGGCACCCAUUCAUUCAUUUCAUAAUAAGGGCCUGGCAAAUCUGCGGCGGUGGGAGGGUCGUCAUUAAUCCGUCACAAAUUGGUGCCUGGAUGAGGAACAUUUAGAGGAGAAACACGGGUUCAGGUUAAUGAGUUUGUGUCAACGUGACGGAAAAACAACAAACAGAUUUUUACUUUUUUCCUGUUUGGCGAUAAAAGUCCAAAACAGAAAUUUCCUCUGAGCUUCCGGGUUUUUGUUUCCCUACACCAUCACAUCACUACGAACACUUUGAAAUAUAUAUUUGGAAAAUAACAACAGUUGGGCAAAAAGAGGAUGAUUAUUUGGAAAAUGGGGGGUAUUUGUUUGCAAUGCAGGACUAGUUUUAAAAGUAUGGACGUGUAUUUGGGGAAGUUUGGACAACAUCACAAAGAUGUUGGAUUCAGUUUAGGAUCAUAUUCCAAUUUUAGGGUUAACGUCCCAGGAAUGCAUUAUGUUAAUGAAGAUCCUGUGUGUGUGUGUGUGUGUGUGUGUGUGUGUGUGUGUGUGUGUGUGUCUGUGUGUGUGAGGUCGUGCUUAUUUCCUGAGUGCAGCUGAAGUGUCGGUAGAUGAUGAGAAGCGUGCUCAAGUACCACCGCCACUGCUGCUCUGCAUUUUGAAUCCCCUUACACACACACACACACACACACGUAUGUUUUUCUGCCUUUGUGAGAGCCUCAGUAACAUAAUGCUUUCCUGGGACGCCAACCCUCAGCCUGAACCUGAACCUUAAAACCAGACCUUUGAUGCUCUAUCACAGAGUGAAGAUCUCCUCGGGUUCUACAAAUGUCCCCGCAAAGUUUGAAACUUGCGUUGUCAUUUAUCCACAAAGUCAGAUAAAUGACAACGCACCCCCACAUGUAAAAAUGAUGGGGAAUAUGUAGUCCCUCAUUUUCAAGCCCCCCCCCCAUUAAAAAUAAAUCCUGGGAACACCCCUGGAGAGCGGUGUGCUACAACAGUAGAGCAUUAUAGCUGAAUAACAUCAAACCUUUUCAUACUGAAAACUCUGAGUAUGAACGCCAUCAUAAAAUUUUACAUGAACUGAUUUGAAAGCAGAUGUUAGAAGAUUUGUUCUGAUAAAUGUUUGGUAGCAUGCCAUCUUUGUUCAGAGCUGAGACAGAAAACCUCACACAUGUCAGGGAACAUGUUGGGGAACAUUUCAGUGGACCGUGGUGAUAAAACCUGAACAGGGUUAGGUGUUCCUCCUCUUCUUCCUCUGCUGUCGGCUGCUUUGAGCUCCUCUUUAGUCCGUUAACAGAGCCGUUAAUGAGAAUCCUCCUGCU